rnacentral:lncRNA from 1 species
ACUGAAGCCUACCCCAUCCUCCGCCUCCUCUUCCAAACACCCCUUUGGUAUCUUCUUCUUCACUUCUCUCCCUGUUACAUGUCCAAAAUCCUGUUAUUGACAACACGUUUCAGUCAUUGAGUGUUACUAAUAAAAAGAGACAACAAAUACGCCUUACUUCAACAAUUCACAAUACCAGAAAUUUUGCACUAUUAACUUCUCCUUCUUACCUGAAGUGGUCCGUUUUUGUAAAUUUCUGUCAUGAUUCUGUGGGUAUUACAGCUGAUCCUGUAUGAAUUGACAACAUAAUGCUUUGAUUUCCCCAUUUUUGGACACACCUCCGACGUGAACAAUCAAGGUGGGGACAUCUCUCUGGUCAAAGUAAGGAUCACUCCUUCAUUUUUUCACCAAAACAAUUUCAAAUGAAUUUGUGUAUUUUAGGUAUUUGAAAUUACCAUGAAUUAGUGUAUUUUGGAUAUUUAAAUUUGGGUAAUUAAAGAUGGAUUGUUUGCAGUCGGAAGAAGGGAAGGAAGGAGGAAAAAGCCAUUAAUUUAAUUUUAUUGUAUAUAUAAAAUAUCACCGAUUUCAAAUUCAAUUUGAAGAAAUAAAAUGAUAUGUUUAACAUUUAUGGAAGAUUGGCAAGGAUACAAUGGAGAAGAAGAUGAUAAUUUUUCUUUUUAUUUCUUUUAUGUGUUUUUUAAUUACUUUUAGGUGUCUUUUUUUGAUUGGUUGUGUUUUUUUAUAUUUAAUUUUUUUUAUUAAUUAUGGCUUCUCACUCUCCGUGUAUUACACAUGUCAUGCCAUGUCAGCAAUUGAAAUAUUUUUGUGAAGGAGUAAAGGGUUCAAUAGAUAUCUGGCCUAAUUAAG